AGGGUGUAAAUUAAUGAUGUCUCAUAAAUUUGGAGAGUACUAGGGGGUGGUAUGGUUAAUAUCCUUCAUUGAGGAGCCCAUGAUUGGAAAUGUGAAAUGGCAACUUCACAAUGCUAUGAAUUGUCUGAUUUCCUGUUCUUGUGAUAGAGAACAAGAUAGGAGGUACAUGAAGAGUGUUGUCUAUGAAACACUAGUGGAAACAGUGGAUGACUUCCUGAAUGCAUUGCCACAAUGUUUCACAUUAUCAGAAGCGAGUGUGGAAUCUUCCGGGCAGAUGAAACAUGGUUCGUCACUGCAUGCUCCGUAAUGAAGUUGUCAGGUGUCACUUUGAACAUUUGCAAAUGUAAAAAUAAAAUUCCCCAUGCUUAUGUUACUGUAUUUUUUUAUUUCUAAUGAUUAGCAGUGACAUGACUUCUAAUCCUAUUAGAUGUGUGGAGCCAUUAUUUCAUAUUUC
rnacentral:lncRNA from 1 species